GAGGACACUUUGGACUUGGACUCUUCAGCAAUGCUGAAAGUGUUAAGACAUUGGCAACUCUUAGAGAUGGAUUAAAUGAAUUUUGCAUAGAGAUGGACACUGAGAACAAUCUUCAAGAAGCCUCCGACUCAAGCAAUGAGAAAGUCCAUUGGCCCAUAUCAGACCUCAUGUACAGAUCCAUGAAGAUGAUGUCUGGAUGUGGAGGAGAUCAUGGUGGUGCAUGAAAGAGCCUUCAGUCUGCAUGUGGGUCUCGGUGCCUCUCUUCACAUCCUCAUGAGCCUCCUGAAGCCAUUUCCUUAGCUGCCUCCUGCAUCAACACCUCUCUUAGCUUUCCCACCUUUUGAUUCUGCAAGCAGUGAAAUUUCUGACUAAAAUAAAUCCAUGAGCUGGUCUGGGCUGGAAUGACUGCAAAGUGCUGACCUUCACAUCAGAAUCACCGCCAUCUGAGAGGAGUCUGGUGCUACCCUUUACUUGUCCCAGCAACAAAAAAGACACAAAAGAGAGGCAUAGGAAGUCAUCAAGACCUCAUCAAGGUCCAGAGGAGUUUAUAAUUGCAAUCUCAGGAAAAAGUUACCGGAAUUCUCACAACACACAAAAUGAGAAGAGAGUGUAUUCAUGAUGAGAUUAGAGGAAGAGCAAGAAGACUAGUCUGACAAAAGGGAAGUUUAUGAAGGAGGCAGCCAGGACACGGAAGACUCCACGGCUGCAGUACUUGCUGAGAACACCAGAAGCCACACACACCCAUGGUGUAUUUUUCUCCAGAAUCAAGCAUUGACUUUCUCUAAUGCUUUGGAAAGGAAGAGUGAGUCUUUAAUUGGCUUUGCAUAUUAUUUUCGAAGGAAUGCAGAAGUUGGUAUACUGUUAUGCAAAACAAACAUAUUUGCAUGAAUGCUUAAGGUUAAAAACUUCAAAGAACACUAUCACUUGCAGAAAAACCUCCAUGCCUGAAUGUUCUCCUCCCUAAACAAUUCCCUCUCCCUCACUGUUGACUCCAGUCAAUUUACACGCUCAACCAAGUGUAACUCCUAUCAUAUCCCAGGUGGACUCCUCUUUCUGCUGGAUGUCACUGCCCCUGGCCAGGCAAUUACCAUGUCUCACUCGGGUAACUGCAGUCCAUUCCAGCUGGUCCUGUCCUUUCUUGUCCCUCCUGUCCUUUCUUCUCCCUCUCUUUCUUCUACACUAUGUCCAAGGUCAUCAUUCUACAAGGACAGUGGAAUCACACUGCCCUAGCACUAUAACUUCCCCAGCAUCUUCUUUUCACCUAUCAUCCUGCAACAUCCAACCUCUCCCACUGUACCUGCACAUCGCUGGUGGGUUUUGCUGACCCACAUCUGCUCUGCUCACACUGUCCUUGAGCAUCAACACCUCAUCUUUUGAGAAAGCACUUCCUGCAACUGGUCAUGGUGGUAGCUACCUGGAGUCCCAGAACUCUAGAUGGCUGAGGCAGGAGGAUCACCAGUGCCAGCCCAGCCUCAGCAACUUAAUGACUU